UGACCUACCCCACAGUGAGGAAUACCGGCGAGAAAUCGCCGACAAGACCGCAUCGGGUCUGUCCGGUGGAGCGGACAGGGCAAAGUUUCUCUUGCAAGAGAGAGACGCUGAGGGAUGGGCCUGUGGCCGAUUAGCUAGUUGGUAAGGUAAGAGCUUACCAAGGCGACGAUCGGUAGCUGGUCUGAGAGGACGAACAGCCACACUGGGAUUGAGAACGGCCCAG
rnacentral:rRNA from 1 species